GACGAACCGUCCUAACGUUGUUCGGAUUCGCUGGGCUUAAAGGGCGCGUAGGCGGACGAGUAAGUCCGGGGUGAAAUCUUUCGGCUCAACCGGAAAAGUGCCUCGGAAACUACUCGCCUCGAGGGGGGUAGGGGCCUGUGGAACUUCGGGUGGAGCGGUGAAAUGCGUUGAUAUCGGAAGGAACUCCGGUGGCGAAAGCGAACGUGCUGGACCUCUUCUGACGCUGAGGCGCGAAAGCUAGGGGAGCGAACGGG
rnacentral:rRNA from 1 species